rnacentral:rRNA from 1 species
GACAGAGGGUGCAAACGUUGUUCGGAAUUACUGGGCGUAAAGCGCGUGUAGGCGGUCCUGCAAGUCGGAUGUGAAAUCCCACGGCUCAACCGUGGAAGUGCAUUCGAAACUGCAGGGCUAGAGUCCUGGAGAGGAAGGUGGAAUGCUUGGUGUAGAGGUGAAAUUCGUAGAUAUCAAGCGGAACACCGGUGGCGAAGGCGGCCUUCUGGACAGUGACUGACGCUGAGACGCGAAAGCGUGGGGAGCAAACAGG